CAAUGUUUCCUAUCUGUCCUAUCCAUAUCUGUAAACUUUGUAAAAUAGAAAAAUAUUUACGGAUACUGGUUGUUAACGAGUAGAUAGAAUUAACAAUAUUCACAAAUAUGUUUAAUAUGUUUUAUAACAAUAACAUUUAAGCAACAAUUGUUUCUUCAAUCACAGUUUCAAAGGAUUACAUGCAAGAGUAUACUCUUUGACGUAACUAAUUUCAACAGCAAUCACAUUUACUACUGUCAUCCUCUCAACCAAAUCAAGUGUCUCAACCAUAGGCCUAUAUUAAGAAAUUUAUUGAUUAUAAUGGUUUCAACAAAAACAUUAAUAUUUGAAUAAAUUCCAAAUCCAAUAUCUUCCUUACAAGCCACUAUUGUAUUAAUUUAUACAAUUAUUUAGUUUUAAUUUGUAAUUAUUUUAUAUAGAUUAUAUAUUUUUAUUGUGCACUGUUCGUGUUAUUUUCAUUUUAUGCAGUUUUUAAACUUAGUAUCUAAUGAGGAAACUGAAUCCAACAAUACACCUCUUCUGUGACCAAAUUACCUGUUUUUAAACAAUUUUCUUAUGUGUUAUACCUGUAUUUUCAGAAAUCUUGGUGUCGGUGUUUCUUCGUUUUCCUCUCGGAUCGGCGGCAUAAUGGCACCUUUUAUACUGUUGUUGGAUCAAUACGUGGGAUUUCUGCCUCUGGUAAUUCUUGGGAUAUUUUCUAUCAUAGCGGGCUUGUGUGUUCUACUCCUUCCCGAGACGUUAGGUAGGAGACAACCAAUGACAAUAGAGGAGGUCGAGAUGGGCGGAAGGCUUAGACAAGAACCAACCACAGAAAACCAUAAUCUGUGAAUAUCAACAUGUUAAAUUGGGUCUUUAUAAGAAAAGGCAUUUUAUGGAAUCCAGUCGAAGGAGGUGGGGGGAGAUACUCUACCGAAUAAUAGUCUUGUCUAUCUACUGUUCCAAUGUGAAGAGUUGAUUUAUGGUAGAGCUGCAGUUGGCAGGAUUUGGCCAAAAGUAUGGAUUAAUAUGUAUGAUAGGCAUGAGAGUCAGAGUCUUAAGUAAACACAUUUUUGUUGUUGUUUGUUUUGUU